rfam:Salmo salar isolate Sally breed double haploid chromosome ssa22, whole genome shotgun sequence.
CUCCCUGUAGCUCAGUUGGUAGAGCAUGGUGUUUGCAACGCCAGGGUUGUGGGUUUGAUUCCCACGGGGGGC